rnacentral:rRNA from 1 species
AGAGUUGAUCCUGGCUCAGGAUGAACGCUGGCGGCGUGCCUAAUACAUGCAAGUCGAGCGAACAGACGAGGAGCUUGCUCCUCUGACGUUAGCGGCGGACGGGUGAGUAACACGUGGAUAACCUACCUAUAAGACUGGGAUAACUUCGGGAAACCGGAGCUAAUACCGGAUAACAUGUUGAACCGCAUGGUUCAACAGUGAAAGACGGUCUUGCUGUCACUUAUAGAUGGAUCCGCGUCGCAUUAGCUAGUUGGUAAGGUAACGGCUUACAAAGGCAACGAUGCGUAGCCGACCUGAGAGGGUGAUCGGCCACACUGGAACUGAGACACGGUCCAGACUCCUACGGGAGGCAGCAGUAGGGAAUCUUCCGCAAUGGGCGAAAGCCUGACGGAGCAACGCCGCGUGAGUGAAGAAGGUCUUCGGAUCGUAAAACUCUGUUAUUAGGGAAGAACAAAUGUGUAAGUAACUAUGCACGUCUUGACGGUGCCUAAUCAGAAAGCCAC